rnacentral:misc_RNA from 1 species
CAUGACUAUACUAUUUGAAUAAUAGCGUGUAGUAUCAUGCGUCGUUAAUAACCGUUAACAAAGGAAUAGGCAGGUGUCCGUAUAUUAUAUUAAAAGUGUAUUAUAUUAUGUAAUAUUAAAAAAUUUACUAUAUAGAUCAAUUAAAAAAUUAUUAUUUAUUAAGAGAUAUAUACAAUGGCAGAUAUAAAUACAGAGAAUAAUGACCCAGUAAAAACUAAUGAAAGAUUUUCUCGCAAUCGUGGACGUGGUUCUGGUAGUAAGAAUCGUGAUGGAUUUUUUAAGCAUAGCGAUCGACGAAAUGAAUUUUAUAAUUCGCGAGGAUCAAAUAAUAGAUCUAAUCGUUCGGAAUCAUAUGGAGGAAGUAGUUCAAAUGAUAACAGUUAUAGUAGAAAACCUUACAAACGAAAUUGGACUCCACCGCAAGGAGAUGGAAAAAGAAAGAGGCUCGAAGUUGGAAACCGUCUCAAAGAGCCUGACAUCGGUGUGACUGAGUUUAUAGGAGAUCAUCUUGGUUUUCCCGGUCUAGUUAAAGAAAGAUACAGCGAUUUCCAUGUCAAUGAAAUAUCUCUUGAUGGUGAAGUUGUUAAAUUAACUAAUCAGGAUAUUCCUAAUGAACCAGAGGAAACUGAAACUUUAGAUGAUUUAAAGAAAUGUGUUCCCGAUAACAUAUGGGAACAAUUACAAGCAUUGAAGGAAGAAGAAUCAUCUAGUUCCACUAUUGAAAUUGAUGUUACCGAUGUACAUAAAGAUGUAAGAAGAACUAUUCAUGAAAUUGCUAAAAGACUGGCAAAUGUUACAAGCCAAACUAUUGAUCAAAAUGAUAAAAAGCUCAUGAUAAUGAUGAGAACUAAUAAAGGAAAUAAAAGUAAAAAUGAUCAGAGAUUCCAUGUCGAUGAUAGAAUUAAUUGGAAGAAACACGGUGGAGAUUAUUGUUACUUUUCGUUGCAUAAAGUAAAUAUGGAUACUAUGGACGCUUUAAAUCAAAUGGCCAUGAUACUACGCACUAGACCAAAUAAUUUUAGUUACGCUGGAACUAAAGACCGUAGAGCAUGGACUACUCAAUGGGUUAGCUUGAAAAAGACACCACCUAAAAAAAUAUUACGCGCAGGAUACGCGAUACGUGGUGCCUAUGUAGGAAAUUUUAAAUUUGAAAAAGUACCACUCAAGUUAGGUAUGUUGAGAGGUAAUCGCUUUAAAAUUGCGAUACGAAAUGUUAUUGCAUCAAAUGAAGAAAUUGAAAAGGCUAUGAUAUCGUUACGCGAUCGUGGCUUUAUUAAUUAUUAUGGUCUUCAAAGAUUCGGCACAGUUGCUGCCAUUCCAACGCACGAAAUAGGAAAGAAAUUGCUACAGGGUAAAUGGAACGAAGCAAUAGAUUUAAUUUUAAAACCCCGAGAAGGUGAAAAAGAUCAAGGCUUGGCAGAAGGUAGGAAAAUAUACGAAACGACUAAAGAUGCACAUGCAGCGUAUAAUAAAAUUCAAAGAUCUGAUAAAAUUGAAGCAACCCUUUUAAAGGGUUUAACAAUAUGUACAGAUAAAAAUCCUCAAGGUGCAUUAGAUUUAUUACCAAGAAAUAUUCGUUUAAUGUAUAUUCAUGCUUAUCAAAGUUUCAUAUGGAAUCAAAUAGUAUCUAAAAGAAUCAAAGAAUUUGGUACGCGUCCUAUCGUUGGUGACUUGGUAUAUUCAAAUAAGAUGGAAGACAAAUGUUCGGAAGAACAUUCCGAACAAUUGUCUCAAGAUAAUAGUGAAGAUGCUAUCUUAGAUAAUGAUGAAACCAACAAUUCUGCGAAAGAAGAUCAAAAUGAAAUGGUAUCUGAGACAUAUGAAGAAGAUAUUGAAAACGAUGGCAAAGAGUCUAAUAACGAUAUUAAAGAAGUUACAAAUGCUACAGAAAUUAGCCUUAAGAUAGAAGAGAAAUCUGACGAAAGUAAUACCGUUGAAAAUAAAGAAGAACAAGAAGACUUUUGUCAUAUUCCUUCUGUGAAAAUUCUUACUGAAGAAGACUUGCCAAAUUAUACAUUAAAUGAUAUAAUAAUGCCACAGCCUGGUUGGAAAGUGACUUAUCCUCCGUAUGCCAAGCCUUGGUUUGAUGAAAUUUUAGCAAAAGAUGGAUUGACUACUGAUUUAAGACAAAAUAACAAGAAAUACAGUUUAGGUGGGGCUUAUAGGAAAAUAUUACAAAUCCCAAAGGACUUGUCUUGGAAAAUAAUGCACUAUAAAGCUAAGCAUGAUAAUCUUAUUUCCAGUGACAUAGACGAAAUGAGGAAUGUUACUCCUCCAAAAGAUGAUCCUGAAUGAGUCAGCCGAUGAUAGUAAAGAUUUGACGAGGCCGCGAAGCAUUUAUCGCAAUACGGACACUUAUGGGGACGUUCACCGACUUCAACCUGUAUGCGUUCGCACAUGUCUCGUAAGCAGUGAGGGUCUAUCGAAAUACUUAUUACAAUAUUGGCAAGGAUACAUGCGCCGUGAUUUGGAAUGACCAGCAUUCAAUUCUUUGUUCCUCCCGCUACAACUCAAAUCUAACGGCGCGUUCUGCAUUGUGUUCCAAAUUUAUCUGUAGACAAAUUAUUCGCUGAACUAAAAUGAAUACGAAAAGUAAAAGAAAAAUUAAAACAAUGAUAAAUAUAUAUAUAUAAAAAAAGCAAAUAGAAAAGUUUUCACAUAAAUUUUGAUCGUAGAUUUAAAAAAAUAUUUGAAAUAUUAUAUAUCACAAAAGUUAAACAGCAGAGCCUAUAACUACUGAUAGAUUUGUGUAAACCUCGAGGACGGCCAAAUCUUACUACCCUGAAAAUUACGAGCGUGAUUAUAGGUGAGAAAUAGGAUAGGUGCGACGAUACCUCCGCGCAUGUCGGAGGCGGGGUCUUCCGGAGGGCGGAGUUUAAUAUAACUUUUGACAAUGUACCGUAAGAUCGUCUAUAUAAUAUUUUGAAAUGCCACGUAAUGAGUGGCAUCGCUAUCAACCCCCUGUAUAUACGGAAAAAUAGACUUACCAAUGACAAAUGAUGUAUACUUCGAAGGAUCGUUUACAAAAUCUUAUACGUCAAGAAACAUUUAAAACAUUUCAAAUUUCCCAUUAAAUUUUGGUCCGUUCCAUUUAUUUUUUUCUUUCCGUCCUUUUCUAAAUAAAUUAUGUUAUAAAUAUGAUUAUUUCUUCGUUAUAUAUCAAAUUGUUCUAAUUUCAUUGUUUUUAUAGAUUAAACGAGAUAGUCAUCGAUAUAAUAUGUUAUAUAUAGGUGUAUACUAUAUAUUUUAAAAAUCUCUUUGUACUCUUUCCUUCAAAUGAACAGAUCUGCUGCAAGCAUUAUAUUUUUUACAUACCAUUGUAAUUAUUACUGUAAAAGGCUUAGUUUAAAAAAUAAAAAUAACGAUAGAAAAAUUGUAAAAGAUACAUAGGAUAUGUAAUUGUGUCAACUUCGGUAGAUAGUGAACCUGAUAAAUAGAAAUAUCAUGAUAUUAAUAAAUCAUAAUAAUUUUGCACGAAAAA